CACCUGAAUUAGCCCCUCUUGCUUCUCUGCCGCUAAAUUUAGAUCCACUAUUGCGUACUGGCUCGGUUCUGUGACCUCCAUGGCUGACUGCGAGCUGGGCUUGCACAGUGUGGGGCUCCCGGGUAAAAAACUUGAAGGACAAUUUGGCUGAAAGGGUGUAGAGUCCAGGCUGGGACAGGCCGGCAGACAGCUGCGCUCCCUGCAGCGAGAUCUCGCUGUGUCCCACAUAGAGCACUCUGAUGGGGCACACCACUUGCUCCAGCCAUUCUCCCUCACCAGCCUUCAGCAGGGAGUCCAAGUCAAGAUGGGGUCGAGGGUCAACACUGUGGCCAUCUGAAAUGUCUGCCGACUCUCUGCUGGUGUUCAUCAUGAUCCACUCGGAAUGGUUGAGGGCUAAAACAAGCUGUCGCCACGGUGAGGUUGGGGAGGACUGGCAUCGAAGGAGCGAGCCUGGGUCAGCGUCGUGUUGAAGGCCAAUGACGUCACCAGCGGAAACCAAGAGGUCUUCUAACUGCUCUUGCACCUAAAGAAAAGUGGGGUUUAAGCCAGUGGAUGUUAAAAGAAGAUCCACAUUACAUCAAUAUGGACCGGCGAACAGCUGCAAUCUCUUAGCUGUUUAUCCGAUCUCCCCGUAAACAGUGUCAAAUGGAAGUCAUUAGCUAUUUUUAUUUGAAAUAUUUCCCAUCCUACGACAAUCACUGAAAAUGCUGACAAAAAAUAAAGUUCUCUCACCAGAACAUUUGCUGCUGGUCCUGCAGGCAGUGUGAAGGCCACCUCGUCUUGUAAAGUAUAGCGAGGCCUCAGAGCACCAGGAGGAAGGUGCUGACCUUCGGUGCAAUUAAGGCAGGAAGAUGGCUGACAAGGACUAGAGAGGUCCAGGCAUUGUUGCUGGAAUGGACACCACUGUUGUAAUCGGGGGCAAGAGGGCGGAUCGGCGUUUCUGGAGACAUCUGGAACACAUAUCGCCACUGGUGCGCAAACUGGACCAUGACAACCUAAAACAGAACACAAUUUAUUUUAGGAUCACUAACAUUGGAGAAUACUAAUAGAGUUAGACAAAAUGAUACAAAAACAAAUGUAUCAGAUAAAGAUGAGAAUAUUUUUUUAGGAUUAACACAGUCACUGUUCUCCCUGUAUUAAAAAGAACAAGUGAAAAAUCAA